CCCCUGCCUCCAAAUUGAAAAGAUACAAAAAUUUCGUCUUAUAAUUUAAAAUUGCCGCCAACAGCAUGAACAGUGGAACUUAUUUUAAGACUACUGACGUAGUUGACUACGUAUUGACGACAAACAAUUUUCCUACGACUUUUGCCAUUUGGGAAAUCUAAACUACUUGUCUUUAGAGAUUUUCGGCGAUUAAACAUUCUAUACGUUUGUU
rnacentral:lncRNA from 1 species